rnacentral:lncRNA from 1 species
CUGCCUGGGAUAUAAUUCAAUUAACUUUGUCUUUUUUUUUUUUUGUAGGUGGUGGCCAAUAUUGACUGAAACAAGGAGACUGAGAUUGAGAUUCCACCACCUAUGUUUAUGUGUCUGCAGUGCAGACAAUUGCAUGCAAGCUAAUUGUGUCUAAGCUCCUGCUGCAGUCCAAGAGCAACAGAGAGUUAACACAGUCAAUGAAACAAUGAGAACUAUUCAAAUACAGACAUCAAAGUUACGGGGACUAAGACAGCAGACACCUGCACUUUUCAGCCAUUUUCAACCCAGAUGCAGUCAAUACUGCAGCAUCAUCUGUUACCAAAGAUCAGCAUUUUGUUACAAAUAUUCUGCUCUUUCUUCAAAGAGAGGAAGUGUAAAUCUUACUUGUCAACCAAGUUGGUACAUAAUAUUUUUAUUAUCUAACAGCUUUCAGUACAAUACAGUUAAAAACAUGAAAGUGAAUACAACCAAGUCCCACUGAUAUAUUACUACUAAAGGGUGGAAUAGAAAAAGAAGAUGCCACAACUUACAUAAAAACUUCAAAUAUAUAUAAAAAUAUAAUAUUAUUCUAUUAUAUAUGUAUUACUCUUAUGGACACAAGAAAUAUUAAAAUGAAUUGAAACUAUUGAAUCGAAUCUCUUUACACAAGUCGAGGGGUUUUAAUCAUGCUAAUUUUAUAGCAAUAUAAGAUCUCAUUUUAAUUUUCAUUUUGUAGGAGUAUUCUAGAGAAAGGCCAAACAUGUCAAUUGGUAUGCAGGCAGCAGUAUUUUCAGCUCUGAAUAUUUUAUCUGGUUUCUUGGUCUUUAUAUUUCUUCAGAUACUGCUCAGCACGUAGAAUUAAUACUGAUCACUGUGCUACUUACUCUGUCAGAGUGUCUCUGAAGUUAAUCCAGAGUCAUGCAAAAAAUGCUUCACUAUGUUCUCACAGAGGUUUUAAAAGGUCAAAAUUCUCCAUUAAUUUUUAAGAAAUGUGGUCGUUCUAAUUUGUACCAAUAAAGGUCUUUUUAUUUCCA